UACGGGGGGAGCAAGCGUUGUUCGGAUUUACUGGGCGUAAAGGGCGCGUAGGCGGCGCAACAAGUCACUUGUGAAAUCUCCGGGCUUAACUCGGAACGGUCAAGUGAUACUGUUGUGCUAGAGUGCGGAAGGGGCAACUGGAAUUCUCGGUGUAGCGGUGAAAUGCGUAGAUAUCGAGAGGAACACCUGCGGCGAAGGCGGGUUGCUGGGCCGACACUGACGUGAUGCGCGAAAGCCAGGGGAGCGAACGGG
rnacentral:rRNA from 1 species